UACGUAGGUGACGAGCGUUAUCCGGAAUUACUGGGCGUAAAGGGCCAGUAGGCGGCCAACUAAGUCGGAUGUGAAAUCCCCAGGCUUAACCUGGGAACUGCAUCCGAUACUGGAUGGCUUGAAUUCGGGAGAGGGAUGCAGAAUUCCAGGUGUAGCGGUGAAAUGCGUAGAUAUCUGGAGGAAUACCGGUGGCGAAGGCGGCAUCCUGGACCGACAUUGACGCUGAACGGCGAAAGCUAGGGGAGCAAACGGG
rnacentral:rRNA from 1 species